UAGCUACUGGAAAAUCAGUUCUUUACUUAUUAACCAAUCAGAGCAAUACACUCAGAACAUACAGAACAUCCCACUGUAGGUAGGCUAUAGUUUCCGGGUAUGAACUGAGAAAGAGCAACACUAUUAGGGUGAAUGAGCUGGUAUAGAUAGGACAGAUUUGGCCUAGUGACAGGAGCUGACUGUGAGGAUGUGGAUUCAAAUAUAUGUACUGUCUAUGGUGAAGGACAUGAAUCUGGUAUCUAGACUGCCCUAGUCCUAGCUGCCUGGUUGGUACAGUUAUUUCCCUUAGAGGUGAUAGAGCUGUCAAUGUGAUGAGAGUGACAGUGAAUGAUUCCUGUAACAUUAGGGAAAUAGGAAGUUUUUAUCAUGACCUUUAUUUGGCCUGAGUUUUUCUUUUCCAGGGAGAAUCCCGUGCUUUUUCCAGAUAUGAAUGUGGGACAGGAGGAUAUGAACAGUAUAUUUGAAGCUGGUAAUGGUGGCAUAUGACAUCAGUCUCUUUCUGUUACAUAGACAGAGAAAGUAAGAGUUGAUCUUAGGGGUAGUGCAGUGUCCUGACACAGAUCCUAUUGGAACUUCUGGAAAGGAAUAAUAACGGGGUGCAUGAGGGGUUCAUGCUGGAUCCCUGAGCUGUCUCAUAUAAGGGGUGAGUAAGAAGAUUUAAAAGUUUGAAUGCAGAACUACAACGAGUCAGCUAUUCCUAGAAAGGAGAGAAUAUCCUGAUAGGUAGAACAGCCGGCAAAAGACUCAAUUAGAUAUUUUCUAUCUUAAUAUACAGCCUAGUAUGAAAUGGUAAUGUUUGCACUCAAAUAGGUGACCUGAGGAGUGGAAUUUGGAUUUUGGAACUUGAGUCUCCAUAAGUCCAGUUGUACAAAAUUUUACAAGAAGAGAGAAUUAGUUUGACUAACUUAAAUUAUGGGCCACAGAGUAGAAUGCUAUCUACUUAUUUUAUUAGUUAUAGCCAGUGAGGGUGAAGUAGAGCAAGCCAGAAUUUGGGAACUGAUGAAAUAGUUGUGAGAUGUCCAUGAAUCUGUGUUUCUAGUCAGUCCAUGUUAGCUACAUAUACAAGUAAGUGUCAGGGUCUGUCCAGGAUAAGGAAAGAUAUUUUGAGACAGAUAUUUGAGAGGUAUAGAAAAGAAGGUAGUAUCCUUGAGAUCUAGAACUGAGAAGUGUGUGGUUUUUGAAGGGAGAGGGAAAAGAAUUGUGUAAAGUUUAGGCAUUACAAGAUCGAGAGGGCCACAGCAGAUUUAAUUAGCUGCAGGUGUAGUGAUAUUUUAUUUAUGCUGAAAAGUGGUGAUAUAUUAUUUAUGCUUUAUUAAAUUUUGCUGGAGUUCAGGCGGGGAAGGCCAGUGAUAUUAUGUAAACAAAAAUUCAGGCAACACACACCCUCAAUUAGAACACUUAUCAGACAUGGUCUCUGUGUGUUCCAGGCUAUAAUAAGGUACAGAGCAAAGCAUGGUGACACACUCCUUUAAGGCCAGUACCAAAUAUAAAGACAUGGAGUUCUGUACAGACAGCUGAAGGGUUGUUGCAGGCCUGCUUGGGAAGUCAACAGAUCCUGAAAAUACCUGGUGACAAUAAUUUCAACCACUCAGUGUGAAGUUGCUCUGGCAGUUUAAGAAGAAUAUUUUUUGAAGAAAUGUUGGUAUGCUUUAACUUCCCUGAAGACUUCGGAGGGUAAGUUAUAUGAAAAUACCAUGGUACAUUAAGAGCUUUAGAUAUGAUCUGGUAAAUAUUGGAGGUGAAUUCCAGACAAUUACCAGACUGAAGAAAGUCCAAGAUUCCAAAUAGGCAGAUUAUCUCCCAGAGGUGGAUCAGUUACUGUGUAAGGCCAUUUAUUAGAAACUAGAAAUGCAUCAACCUAACUUGAACAUGAGUUCAAGACCAUGAGUCGAUAUGCAUUUCAUCUGACAGUGGCCAUAAUAGUAAAAUCAAGCUGCCAGUCAGUUCCUCCAAAGGAACUUCUAGCCUAUUGGGUGGAGAAGUUUGGCUCAAUAUUUGGAAUUGGGAUUUGACUUUGGUAAAUUUUGCAGGAGGCAUUAAUAGUUUUUAGAACUGUAAGUCCUCAGAGGUAGGCUGUAGGUUGUCUUUCAUGAAUUGAGACAGGGCAUGACUAUUAGUGUGA